rfam:Sus scrofa chromosome 3.
UCCCUGGUGGUCUAGUGGUUAGGACUCAGCACUUUCACUGCUGCAGCCAGGGUUCAAUCCCGAGUCUGGGAA